CAGCCAGCCACCUUGCUAAGUGAUAUAGGAUCAGGAGGGCAACAACCAGCUUCCUGGGAGAAAACCUCAGGGGAGACAACUCAACCUCCCAGCACAAAGGGGAGGAAAUUUGACAUUGAUAUUGAGGCCUCAGAGCAGUUAAAUGUUCGAUCAAGCUCCUCCAAGUUUUUACCAAGUCUGUCCGAAGCAAACAGCGAGAACAGCGACUCGUUUGCUCUGAGAUUGUCACACUCUGAAGAGGACAAAUCAAACUCUGCUCACAAAUCACAGGGGAAGUUUCCAGAAGAAGAUAAGAAUCUUGAUGACGAACAUG